rnacentral:rRNA from 1 species
AACGAACGCUGGCGGCAUGCCUAACACAUGCAAGUCGAACGAGACCUUCGGGUCUAGUGGCGCACGGGUGCGUAACGCGUGGGAAUCUGCCCUUUGCUUCGGAAUAACAGUUAGAAAUGACUGCUAAUACCGGAUGAUGUCUUCGGACCAAAGAUUUAUCGGCAAAGGAUGAGCCCGCGUAAGGAUUAGGUAGUUGGUGGGGUAAAGGCCUACCAAGCCGACGAUCCUUAGCUGGUCUGAGAGGAUGAUCAGCCACACUGGGACUGAGACACGGCCCAGACUCCUACGGGAGGCAGCAGUGGGGAAUAUUGGACAAUGGGCGCAAGCCUGAUCCAGCAAAUGCCGCGUGAGUGA